rnacentral:lncRNA from 1 species
AGCAUUGGAAAGUCUUGAAAAAUAUGAGAACAAAAGUAAGAAGGAAAAGGAGAAGAAAAGAGACAAAGAGGGAGAGAAGAAGCCAAUAGCUCUUGUGGCCUCUAGCUCUAAGUCCUCACGAAAAGAGCAAAGUGAAAAUGAUUCUAGUAGUGACAAAGAUUCAGAUGAUGAGGAAAUGGGACUGUUUGUAAGGAGAUAUAAUAGAUUCAUUCGAAAGAAUGGAGUCAAGCAUUCCGAC